UAGCUCUUUAGUACUAAGACCCGGCAAAGUCAGCAUCUCCUUCCUUUACUGGAAGGUCAUGAGUUAUAUAAGCCAUUAUUCCUGUUAGAGUUGGUAAUCGAGAUCUGAACCCAGUAAUAAGGUGGGCUAGUCGAGUCAGGAAUGAAGGUAGGAAUCGAAUCCCACGUCGUCAAGAGAAAGCCAAUCAGAGCGAAUAGAGGCCGAUCAAGGGCUCGGACAGUGCUUGUGUACUGGCGGGUAAGUCCAGUCCACCAUCAAGGGAAGCUGCGUAGCGAGCAGCUUUUAGGGAUGCAGGCCCAGAAGCCAAUGAGUUUACGUCAAGCCGAGGCCGCUACGGAUCCAUCGCAAGUAGGUCCAACGUUCAAGAACGGGUCUUUCGGAGAGCGACAUUGGGUAAGGAAAAGCUGCUUUCAAAUCUGAUUCUAUCACAAUUCGUUAAGUCAACUCCGAACACCUUCUAUAGCCUUUGUCCUGCUCAAGCGAGGGCGUAUUCUGACUUGCUUUCCACCACCGUCAUUGAAUUGGGCUUUCCGGAUCCCCUUUCUUCGGGCCUUCCUUUCAGAGAUACCUAUUCAAAAAGCAGAAAUGCGAUGCCUGUUGUCAAACUUG
rnacentral:misc_RNA from 1 species